AGUCGAACGGUCAGUAGCAAUACUGAUAGUGGCGCACGGGUGCGUAACACGUAACUAACCUACCUAUAACUGGGGGAUAGCCCGCCGAAAGGCGGAUUAAUACCGCAUAAGCUGCUUGGGUGGCAUCACCUGAAUAGUAAAGAUUUAUUGGUUAUAGAUGGGGUUGCGGGUCAUUAGCUAGUUGGUAAGGUAACGGCUUACCAAGGCGACGAUGACUAGGGGAGCUGAGAGGCUGGUCCCCCACACGGGCACUGAGAUACGGGCCCGACUCCUACGGGAGGCAGCAGUAGGGAAUAUUGGGCAAUGGGCGAGAGCCUGACCCAGCCAUGCCGCGUGCAGGAAGAAGGCUUUCUGAGUCGUAAACUGCUUUUGACAGGGAAGAAUAAGGACUACGUGUAGUCUGAUGACGGUACCUGCAGAAUAAGCACCGGCUAACUCCGUGCCAGCAGCCGCGGUAAUACGGAGGGUGCGAGCGUUGUCCGGAUUUAUUGGGUUUAAAGGGUGCGUAGGCGGCCCGUUAAGUCCGGGGUGAAAGCCCGCUGCUCAACAGCGGAACUGCCCUGGAUACUGACGGGCUUGAGUACAGACGAGGUUGGCGGAAUGGACUGAGUAGCGGUGAAAUGCAUAGAUACAGUCCAGAACCCCGAUUGCGAAGGCAGCUGACUAGGCUGUUACUGACGCUGAGGCACGAAAGCGUGGGGAGCGAACAGGAUUAGAUACCCUGGUAGUCCACGCCGUAAACGAUGGAUACUCGCUGCGAGCUAAAGAUUGUUCGUGGCUUAGGGAAACCGAUAAGUAUCCCACCUGGGGAGUACGCCGGCAACGGUGAAACUCAAAGGAAUUGAC
rnacentral:rRNA from 1 species